rnacentral:lncRNA from 1 species
UUAGGACUUUUCGUUUUCUUCUUCCUUUCUCUCUACUUAAACUCUGCCGUGUUUCUAAAAAAUUGAUUCACUUUUUAUCAAACAAACUUGCUCAUAUCUGUGAAUCCUUUGUUCAUCUUUGAACAUUGAUUGCUAGGAGUUCAUUCUCUGCAAGCAAAACUUGUUUUUGAUCACAAGUAGAGUUCAUUAUCUUGAUCUUAGACACAUCUACACAAUACUUGAUCAUUCCAUAGAUCAUCUCUGAAGAUCAUCCAAUCGAUCCAUCCAUCAUCAUCGAAAUCAACCCAUAUCUCUC